CCCUUUUUUGAACAAAGUGAUUUAAAAAGCCAAAUUAUUAGCAGAUGGAUCACAUUAUUCUACCCUCUUAUAUUUUGCAUCACUGCAAUAAAUAUGUCAAGAAUAAUACCUACUAAAUAAUUAUUACUUUACAAUUUCCUAUUCCUUAGGAUUUGGGAAGGAUAACAAUAAUGUUGGCACAAAGUCUUCCUGGUUUGAUCUAAGCACUGUGCUUAGAGGUGCAACAACACUCCAUUUAACUCUUCAAUUUAGAUUCUUUGUACGUGAAACGCUGGUGGUCAAAUGGUGUCAUUGUCAAUAAAUCUCAGAGUAUUAUCCGUG